rnacentral:rRNA from 1 species
AUUGAACGCUGGCGGCAGGCCUAACACAUGCAAGUCGAACGAGUGGCGGACGGGUGAGUAAUGUCUGGGAAACUGCCCGAUGGAGGGGGAUAACUACUGGAAACGGUAGCUAAUACCGCAUACCAUCGGAUGUGCCCAGUGGGGCUUGGCUAGUGGGUGGGGUAACGGCUCACCUAGGCGAGGAUCCCUAGCUGGACUGAGAGGAUGACGAGCCACACUGGACCGAUGACACGGUUCAAACUCCUAAGGUAGGCAGGAGUGGGGUAUAUUGCACAAUGGGCGCAAGGCUGAUGCAGCCAUGGCGCGUGUAUGAAGAAGGCCUUCGGGUUGUAAAGUACUUUCAUCGAGGAGGCGUUACUCGCAGAAGAAGCACCGGCUAACUCCGUGCCAGCAGCCGCGGUAAUUC